UCCUGGUUUCCCAGGCAGUUCCGUCAGAGUGCCUCCCGAAGGAGUUGCAACUGACAGUAAGAGUUGCGCUCGUUAGAGGACUCAACCAGACAUCUCACGACACGAGCUGACGACAGCCAUGCAGCACCUGUGCAAUUGUCCGAGCCGAAGCUCGAAAAAUCGUAUUUCUACGACGGUCAAAAGCAUGUCAAGCCUAGGUAAGGUUUCUCGCGUAGUGUCGAAUUAAACCACAUGUUCCACCGCUUGUGCGGACCCCCGUCAAUUCCUUUAAGUUUUAGUCUUGCGACCGUAUUCCCCAGGCGGACCACUUAGCGCGUUAGCUACGACACUGAUCCUGCUAAGCAGAACCAACGUCCAGUGGUCAUCGUUUACAGCGUGGACUAC
rnacentral:misc_RNA from 1 species